UACGGAGGUGGCAAGCGUUGCUCGGAAUCACUGGGCGUAAAGGGCGCGUAGGCGGGGAGGUAAGUCGGGUGUGAAAUCCCUCGGCCCAACUGAGGAACUGCGCCCGAGACUGCUUCUCUUGAGUCCCGGAGAGGAAGAUGGAAUUCCCGGUGUAGCGGUGAAAUGCGUAGAUAUCUGGAGGAAUACCGGUGGCGAAGGCGGCAUCCUGGACCGACAUUGACGCUGAGGAGCGAAAGCUAGGGGAGCAAACGGG
rnacentral:rRNA from 1 species